CCUACGGGGUGCAGCAGUGGGGAAUAUUGCGCAAUGGGCGAAAGCCUGACGCAGCGACGCCGCGUGAGGGAUGAAGGUCUUCGGAUCGUAAACCUCUGUCAGCAGGGAAGAACGGUCACUGUGCUAAUCAGCAGUGAAUUGACGGUACCUGCAAAGGAAGCACCGGCUAACUCCGUGCCAGCAGCCGCGGUAAUACGGAGGGUGCGAGCGUUAAUCGGAAUUACUGGGCGUAAAGCGCUCGUAGGCGGUAUGUCAAGUCAAGGGUGAAAUCCCCGCGCUCAACGUGGGAACUGCCUUUGAAACUGGUAAACUGGAGUGUGUGAGAGGAUAGUGGAAUUACAGGUGUAGGAGUGAAAUGCGUAGAUAUCUGGAAGAACAGCAGUGGCGAAGGCGACUAUCUGGCACAUAACUGACGCUGAGGAGCGAAAGCGUGGGUAGCAAACAGGAUUAGAUACCCUAGUAGUC
rnacentral:rRNA from 1 species